rnacentral:rRNA from 1 species
AUUGAACGCUAGCGGCAGGCCUAACACAUGCAAGUAGAACGAGUGGCGGACGGGUGAAUAAUGUCAGGGAAACUGACCGAUGGAGGGGGAUAACUACUGGAAACGGUAGCUAAUACCGCUUACCAACGGAUGUGCCCAGAUGGAAUUAGCUAGUAGGUGGGGUAACGGCGCACCUAGGCUAAGCGCCCUAGCUGGUCUGAGAGGAUGACCAGCCAAACUGGAACUGAGACACGGUCCAGACUCCUACGGGCGGCAGCAGUGGGGAAUAUUGCACAAUGGGCGCAAGCCUGAUGCAGCCAUGCCGCUUGUAUUAAGAAGGCCUUCGGGUUGUAAAGUACUUUCAGCGAGGAGGCGUUACUCGCAGAAGAAGCACCGGCUAACUACGUGCCAGCAGCCGCGGUAAUAC